GCCAAAACUGAACAGGCUGGGCUUUGAUUGUUUAAAAUAUUUAAAUUUUCAAGUAUAUAUUUAAUAAAUUAUAAAUUUAAGUUGUUACUUAUGCUGUCUUGGUGGCCAACUCUUGACGCUGCUUGCCACAGUUUUUUGCACCUUGGCAGACGAAAAUGCCUCGGCUACCCCACCUUCCAAACACACACACACAAACAAAGAAAGCGAAUAAAUGAAAAACGCAGGAAAAGCGGGCUGCUGCUGGCUGGGGAAAAUGUGCCAAAUAAAAACGGGCCAAAACAAAUUGUGGCCCAGAGAGGGAGAGCCCGUCGUUCCCCCGUCCUGCCUUAAUUCGCAGCCAAAACCAGAAAGCCACUUGGAAAUGUGUCGGUUGCAAAAAAUAAAAAAUAAAAAAAAAAGUAAA